AGAGUUUGAUCCUGGCUCAGGACGAACGCUUGCGGCGUGCCUAAGAAAUGCAAGUCGAACGCAUAUCCUCUUCGGAGGGUAUGAGUGGCGAACGGUCGCGUAACACGUAAGCAACCUGCCCCGAAGUGGGGGAUAACAGCUCGAAAGGGCUGCUAAUACCGCAUGUGGCCAGAGCAUCGCCUGAUGCUGUGUCCAAAGCCAAGUCUUCUUGGCGCUUCGGGAUGGGCUUGCGGCCUAUCAGUUAGUUGGUGGGGUAACGGCCUACCAAGGCGUUGACGGGUAGCUGGUCUGAGAGGAUGGUCAGCCGGAUUGGGACUGAGACACGGCCCAGACUCCUACGGGGGGCAGCAAUUAGGAAUCUUGCGCAAUGGGGGCAACCCUGACGCAGCGACGCCGCGUGCGGGAUGACGGGCUUCGGCCUGUAAACCGCUUUUGAAGGGGAAGAACACUGACGGUACCCUUCGAAUAAGCCCCGGCUAACUACGUGCCAGCAGCCGCGGUAAUACGUAGGGGGCGAGCGUUGUCCGAAGUUACUGGGCGUAAAGCGCGCGUAGGCGGCGCUCUAAGUCCGGCGUGAAAGGUUCAGGGCUCAACCCGAACAGUGCGCUGGAGACUGGAGUGCUUGAGGACGGGAGAGGGAAGCGGAAUUCCGGGUGUAGCGGUGAAAUGCGUAGAUAUCCGGAGGAACACCGAUGGCGAAGGCAGCUUCCUGGCCCGUAUCUGACGCUGAGGUGCGAAAGCGUGGGGAGCGAACGGGAUUAGAUACCCUAGUAGUCC
rnacentral:rRNA from 1 species